rnacentral:rRNA from 1 species
UACGUAGGUGGCAAGCGUUGUCCGGAUUUACUGGGCGUAAAGAGCGCGCAGGCGGUCGGAUAAGUCGAAUGUGAAAGCCCCCGGCUCAACUGGGGAGGGUCAUUCGAUACUGUUCGACUCGAAGGCAGGAGAGGGAAGUGGAAUUCCCGGUGUAGUGGUGAAAUGCGAUAGAUAUCGGAAGGAACACCAGUGCGAAAGCGGCUCCUGGUCCAGCACCGACGUUCAGGCACGAAAGCGUGGGGAGCAAACAGG